rnacentral:ncRNA from 1 species
GCACUUCGUUCUGAUGAAAGAUUAACUUUGACUUCCAAACUACAUAUGGUAAUUCAUACAUGAAUUGUGAUCACCCUAUAGAUUUAACAUAACGUUCAAAACGUUAAGCUUUAUCUUUAGAACGGACACUUAGUCUAAGGAAUAUCCCACAACACCAAUGGAUUAUUUUGUCUACAGCUAGGAAACUAGGCAACAGAGAUAGUCAAUCACAAGUGACUAAAUAAGGUGCCAGCAGUCGCGGUUAAACCUAGACUUGAGGUUAAUAUACACAAAUAAAAGAGGAAGCCAUAUAUUUGACCUUAACUUUACUUGUAAAGCUGAAAUUAGCACUUCUACGAGAUAUCCAAAUAGGUCUUUUGUCACCCUCAACAAACCACACCUACAAGACAGGGAUUAGAUACCCCAUUAUUGAGUGGCUCUACACAACAAACUCUAAAAACGAAAGUUCCAAACUUAAAGAACGUGGCGGUGUUCUACAACCUUAUUAGGGGAUCCUGUGGCUUAAUUCGAUAAUCCACGACCAAUAAAGCUUUACUAGUUCACAGCUUAUGUAUGGCCGUAUUAUGUCUGCAUAUUAAUAUAACAAUAGGAGACAAUUAAAGAAAUUUCCUUGAUAAUUCAGGUGACAUAUAGCCAAUGUAAAGCAGCUCAUGGGAUACAAAUAAAUAUACUACCAGUAACUAAUUUGAAAUUUUUACAAAAGGAGGACUUAAAAGUAAGUUUAAAACAACACUUUAGACUGAAUAAGAUCUAGAACGCGUACAAAUCGCCCGUCACUCCCGGCACUAAUUGGGAUAAGUCGUAACACAGUAGGGGUAACGGAAGUUGCUCCUAGAU